UGGGGAAUUUUGGACAAUGGGCGAAAGCCUGAUCCAGCAAUGCCGCGUGUGUGAAGAAGGCCUUCGGGUUGUAAAGCACUUUUGUCCGGAAAGAAAUCCUUGGCUCUAAUACAGUCGGGGGAUGACGGUACCGGAAGAAUAAGCACCGGCUAACUACGUGCCAGCAGCCGCGGUAAUACGUAGGGUGCAAGCGUUAAUCGGAAUUACUGGGCGUAAAGCGUGCGCAGGCGGUUUGCUAAGACCGAUGUGAAAUCCCCGGGCUCAACCUGGGAACUGGCAUUGGUGACUGGCAGGCUAGAGUAUGGAAGAGGGGGGUGAGAAUUCCACGUGUAGCAGUGAAAUGCGUAGAGAUGUGGAGGAAUACCGAUGGCGAAGGCAGCCCCGGCAAGUACUGACGCUCAUGCACGAAAGCGUGGGGAGCAAACAGGAUUAGAUACCCUGGUAGUCCACGCCCUAAACGAUGUCAACUAGUUGUUGGGGAUUCAUUUCCUUAGUAACGUAGCUAACGCGUGAAGUUGACCGCCUGGGGAGUACGUCGCAAGAUUAAAACUCAAAUGAAUUGACGGGGUC
rnacentral:rRNA from 1 species